AAACCCAAAGGCGAAAUGAAAGUAAAGAGUUGAGUUUAUAAAAAAGAAUUUAUUUUUUUUUUAUUUCUCUCUUUAGGGAAGAUGAAAAUAUUAUUUAUAAUCUAUUUAUAGGUUGUUUAUUAAUAUUUUUCGCAUUCCCAGGGCGCUUGUUUCACGCUUUGCGUGUCGAUGCGCACCUAGAGCGUACACGCUGAUACCCGAAAGAUGGUGAACUAUGCCUGGCCAGGACGAAGCCAGGGGAAACCCUGGUGGAGGUCCGCAGCGAUUCUGACGUGCAAAUCGAUCGUCGGAGCUGGGUAUAGGGGCGAAAGACCAAUCGAACCAUCUAGUAGCUGGUUCCCUCUGAAGUUUCCCUCAGGAUAGCUUGCGCUUGUCUUAUGAGUCUCAUCCGGUAGAGCGAAUGAUUAGAGGCAUUGGGGUCGAAACGACCUCAACCUAUUCUCAAACUCCAAAUAGAUGAGACCCCCGGCUU
rnacentral:rRNA from 1 species